AGAGUUUGAUCCUGGCUCAGAUUGAACGCUGGCGGCAUGCCUUACACAUGCAAGUCGAACGGCAGCACGGGGGCAACCCUGGUGGCGAGUGGCGAACGGGUGAGUAAUACAUCGGAACGUGUCCUGUUGUGGGGGAUAACCCACCGAAAGGUGAGCUAAUACCGCAUGAUCUGGAGACAGCAAAGCAGGGGAUCGCAAGACCUUGCGCGAUUGGAGCGGCCGAUGUCCGAUUAGCUAGUUGGUGGGGUAAAGGCCUACCAAGGCGACGAUCGGUAGCUGGUCUGAGAGGAUGAUCAGCCACACUGGGACUGAGACACGGCCCAGACUCCUACGGGAGGCAGCAGUGGGGAAUUUUGGACAAUGGGGGCAACCCUGAUCCAGCCAUGCCGCGUGAGUGAAGAAGGCCUUCGGGUUGUAAAGCUCUUUCGGUGGGAACGAAACGGUUACGGCUAAUAUCCGUGACUACUGACGGUACUCACAGAAGAAGCACCGGCUAACUACGUGCCAGCAGCCGCGGUAAUACGUAGGGUGCGAGCGUUAAUCGGAAUUACUGGGCGUAAAGCGUGCGCAGGCGGCGCGUUAAGACAGGUGUGAAAGCCCCGAGCUUAACUUGGGAAUUGCGCUUGUGACUGGCGUGCUGGAGUGUGGCAGAGGGAGGUGGAAUUCCACGUGUAGCAGUGAAAUGCGUAGAGAUGUGGAGGAACACCGAUGGCGAAGGCAGCCUCCUGGGCCAGCACUGACGCUCAUGC
rnacentral:rRNA from 1 species